rnacentral:SRP_RNA from 1 species
GCAGGGGGUGGUGAUGUGUGCCUGUAGUCCUAACUACUUGGGAGGCUGAGACAAGAGGAUUGCUUGAGGCUGGAAGUUCUGGGCAGUACUGUGCUGUGCCAUUCUGGUGUCUGAACUUAGUGGCAUCAAUAUGGUGACCUCCCAAGAGUGGGUGACCACCAGAUUGCCUAAGCAGGGGUGAACCUUCCCAUGUAGGAAACAGAACAGGUUAAGACUCUUGUGCGGAUCAAUAGUGGGAUCACACCUGUGAAUAGCCACUACAAUAGCACUACAGCCUGGGCAACACAGUAAGACCCCAUCUCU